GCGCGGAAAGUAGCACAGUACGAGGAGUGCCCUUGAUUGAGGAGACGUAGGUGCAAAUCCUACCGCCGCGCA
rnacentral:tRNA from 1 species